GGGGAAUAUUGCACAAUGGGCGCAAGCCUGAUGCAGCGACGCCGCGUGAGGGAUGACGGCCUUCGGGUUGUAAACCUCUUUCAGCAGGGAAGAAGCGCAAGUGACGGUACCUGCAGAAGAAGCGCCGGCUAACUACGUGCCAGCAGCCGCGGUAAUACGUAGGGCGCAAGCGUUGUCCGGAAUUAUUGGGCGUAAAGAGCUCGUAGGCGGUUUGUCGCGCCUGCUGUGAAAACGCGAGGCUCAACCUCGCGCCUGCAGUGGGUACGGGCAGACUAGAGUGCGGUAGGGGAGACUGGAAUUCCUGGUGUAGCGGUGGAAUGCGCAGAUAUCAGGAGGAACACCGGUGGCGAAGGCGGGUCUCUGAGCCGUAACUGACGCUGAGGAGCGAAAGCAUGGGGAGCGAACA
rnacentral:rRNA from 1 species